AGAGACACUAAACCUUACUUAUAAUGUUUGCAAAGGAAAAGGCACAUUCUAGAACAAUCUUUGCAACCUUAGAGCAGAUCAGAAUUGGUAAAUGAGAACCAUCGUUGAGUAAGAAGAUUCUUCAUAGUUGCAAUUUCUUUUAAGACUAGGGUAGGAAAAUCAAGAUAUUUCCAGGUGAAGGGAAAAGACGGUUGUACAUUUUGUUUUUUCCUACCUUAGAAACACUUUCAGACUUUGUUUUGGUGGGAUUUACUGUCCGACAAGAGCAAUUACUGGCUCUCA